AGGGAAUAUUGGACAAUGGGCGCAAGCCUGAUUCAGCCAUGCCGCGCGAGUGAUGAAGGCCUUCGGGUUGUAAAACUCUUUCGGCGGGGACGAUAAUGACGGUACCCGCAGAAGAAGCUCCGGCUAACUUCGUGCCAGCAGCCGCGGUAAUACGAAGGGGGCUAGCGUUGUUCGGAAUUACUGGGCGUAAAGCGCGCGCAGGCGGUUCUUCAAGUCAGAGGUGAAAGCCCAGGGCUCAACCCUGGAAUGGCCUUUGAGACUAGAGAACUAGGGUACGGGAGAGGUGAGUGGAAUUCCGAGUGUAGAGGUGAAAUUCGUAGAUAUUCGGAAGAACACCAGUGGCGAAGGCGGCUCACUGGCCCGUUACCGACGCUCAGGCGCGACAGCGUGGGGAGCAAA
rnacentral:rRNA from 1 species